UGGGCCUCAUCUGGGCACCUCCAAAUCCUAAACAAAUAAGAGGAAUCUGAAGAUCUCUCCAUCGCUCCUGCUGGGUAACCUCAGGCAGAGGCUAAAGUAGA